ensembl:lncRNA
AAGCAUCUAGGUCAUUCUCUGCUCUGUGCUUCAGAAGAAGGCUGAGGACAAAAAAAAAAAGAUAGAUUCAAGAAGGUAUUUCCUGGCAUUUGGGGAUCAGCCGCUCAGGCCUGAAUAGAGGAGUGGAUGGGGAGGAAGUGAAAUGGACUCCGUUCAAAGACAAUAAAGCUGAUUCAGGGCAGCACCUGAUGUUGCAAGAGCCAUGCUUCCUGGUUCCUUCUUACCUCCAGACCGGAUAACAACCUCCUGGGCCCAGACUGGAAGAGGUGUCGGAAAGGAGAUUAGAGGCAGCUUUGAAGUUCAUCAGAAAACAAGAAACAAAGGGAAUAGAGAUGUCCUGGUACAAAGAAGGCAGCUGAGUCAUAGCUCCUGA